rnacentral:rRNA from 1 species
AGGACGAACGCUGGCGGCGUGCCUAACACAUGCAAGUGGAGCGACGAACCAGGGCUUGCCCUGGGGCAGAGCCGCGAACGGGUGAGUAACACGUGGGUUACCUGCCUCGAUGACUGGGACAACCCGGGGAAACUCGGGCUAAUACCGGAUGUGCCCGCAAGGGGAAAGGAAGCUUCGGCCUCCGCAUCGGGAUGGGCCCGCGGCCCAUUAGCUUGUUGGUGAGGUAACGGCUCACCAAGGCGACGAUGGGUAGCUGGUCUGAGAGGACGAUCAGCCACACUGGGACUGAGACACGGCCCAGACUCCUACGGGAGGCAGCAGUGGGGAAUCUUGCGCAAUGCGCGAAAGCGUGACGCAGCAACGCCGCGUGGGGGAAGACGGCCUUCGGGUUGUAAACCCCUUUCAGUUGGGACGAAGCUUCGCCGGUGAAUAGCCGGCUGGAGUGACGGUACCUUCGAGAAGAAGCCCCGGCUAACUACGUGCCAGCAGCCGC